rnacentral:rRNA from 1 species
UACGGAGGAUCCAAGCGUUAUCCGGAAUCAUUGGGUUUAAAGGGUCCGUAGGCGGUUUGGUAAGUCAGUGGUGAAAGCCCAUCGCUCAACGGUGGAACGGCCAUUGAUACUGCCAGACUUGAAUUAUUAGGGAAGUAACUAGAAUAUGUAGUGUAGCGGUGAAAUGCUUAGAGAUUACAUGGAAUACCAAUUGCGAAGGCAGGUUACUACUAAUGGAUUGACGCUGAUGGACGAAAGCGUGGGUAGCGAACAGG